GUGUUAGCAAAGCUUGUCCAUGGCACGUAAACUUCAUUUUGGGGGUUUCAUCGCUGUGGCUGUGAUACUUUGGUCGGAUAAUAAUGUCUUGUUCAGCGUUCGGUUGCACGGCAAGACACUCAAAGGAAUUGGCAGUUCAGUUUUUCCGACUUCCUUUUGAUGAUGCCAGGCUGAAGCAAUGGUUGGUGAACAUGAGGAGAGAGACCAGCAGAUGGAACCACGAAAAGUCCCGUCUGCAGUUCACACUUUGAGGAAGAUCAGUUUUUUAGAGACGAGCAGGUAUCCACACUGAAAACUGAAUGAGCAGAGCCUACAGAAGGAAGACCUGGUGUAUAGAGCGGUGUAUUUGGUGCCAUUUCAUCUGGAUGUGGAAACCAGACUGCGUUGACCACAUCCAAAGUUCUCAAAUAUGUUCUGAUUAUAAUAAUGCCUGAAAAUCAUUUUUGGUUCAGCUUGUU